UCACAUUCAAUCCCAUGUUAUUUUUUGAAAUUAAGUAUCUAAAACAUUUUAUGAGUCAUUCAGUCAUUCAUAAUAUACAAGCUUUAUAACCCAAAACAUAAUCAAGAUCAGUUGGCAAAAGAAUAGAUAUACAUGCAACUUUGUUUUUUUUUAACUUUUUUUAUAUUUUUUUAAGUACCUUAUUCGUUUGUCCAAAAUGUUACUCAACCUUUUUACGCGAGUACAUACAUUGGUGAUGUCAGUCCCCAAUUACUUAAUUGGUCACACUUCCAAAUGGCUACUAGCUCUACUCAUAACUAGUAUUUUAUUUUUCGAGUCACAUUGGUCCACUGAGGAGUAACCCAUUCCUAACAAAGGCAGUUGCGUUCCCAUGGCCCAAAAUUAAGACCUCUGCUAAAGCUAACAUAGCACCGAACCGCUAAGCUAUGCCACUUGGUGGUGUAAAAUUGAGUGAUUUGUGGAGUAUAUUUUUUUUUCCUUUUGGCUAUUGGUUCUAUUCAUAACCACCAUUUUAUUUUUUGAGCCAAAUCGGUCCACUAAGGAGUAAGCUCUCCCUACCAAAGGCAGCUGUGUUCCUAAGGCUCAAGCUAAAGAUCUCUAGUUAAGCUAACAUAGCACUAAACCACUAAGCUACGUCCCUUGGUGGAGUAAAAUUAAGUUAUCAGCAAAGCAUUUUAUUUUUUUUUAUUUUUUUAUUUUUGCAUAUAUAUAUAUAUAUCUAAUUCUGUACCAAAAUAUGCAUUCUUUUGUAAAUAAUUAUUCAGUUUAGACAAAAGAACAAAUUUCACAACUCAAAGGAUGUAAAGGAUACUAAACUCUUAAAAUUUGAAUAAACUAAAUAAGAUCAAAUACUUCUAUUAGUAAACUAUUUCCACAAACAAUCUUAUCCCAAUACAUAUAGAUUCAAUGCCAUAAUUAUCAUCAUAGGUAGUCAUGACACAACAUAAUACAUCAAGAUUAAACCAUGAAACUUCAUUAAGAAUUAGAGGAUAACAACAAAUAUAAAGAAUUAGAAUAACAUUCUCCCACACUUAAAUGUGACUAUGUCCCCAUAGUUCGCAAAGAAAAAAAUAAAAGACAAUCACAGCAAAAGAAAUGAAACCUCCCUGAAAGUUUGAUGGAGUAGCAUCCACUGCAGCCUUGGUGAAGUUUGCAAAAAACCU
rnacentral:lncRNA from 1 species